rnacentral:rRNA from 1 species
AUUGAACGCUGGCGGCAGGCCUAAUACAUGCAAGUCGAACGAGUGGCGGACGGGUGAGCAAUGUCUGGGAAACUGCCUGACGGAGGGGGAUAACUACUGGAAACGGUAGCUAAUACCGCAUACCAUCGGAUGUGCCCAGAUGGGAUUAGCUAGCAGGUGGGGUAACGGCUCACCUAGGCGACGAUCCCUAGCUGGUCUGAGAGGAUGACCAGCCACACUGGGACUGAGACACGGUCCAGACUCCUACGGGAGGCAGCAGUAGGGAAUAUUGUGCAAUGGGCGCAAGCCUGAUGCAGCCAUGCCGCGUGUAUGAAGAAGGCCUUCGGGUUGGAAAGUACUUUCAGCGGGGAGGCGUGACCCGCAGAGGAAGCACCGGCUAACUCCGUGCCAGCCGCCGCGGUAAUAC